AUAUCUCCAAUUUAAUAUCAAAAGUCUGGGAAAUGGUGGCAAUAAAAGCAUGAAGAGUAGAGGCAUUGCUCCUAUUGAGUAGAAUAUCUUAAACAUACAUAAGAAAAAGGAGAAUGUCAUCAAAGCCCCCCAGCUCCUCUCUAGCAUGGCUAGGCUCACGAGACUUUACUCUCCCUCUUUUCUUAUUGCCAGCCUGCUCCUCUCCCAUAGGAACAGCUCCACUACCAUUAGGGAUCACUAGUUCUUUUAGUAGA
rnacentral:misc_RNA from 1 species